CAUUUUAUGACCUCGGUAAUUAUGAAACCCUGUGUACAUGUUCUAUAAAUUCUAUCUAAUGAAAUCUGAGGUAAAUGUGUAUUUCUACAAAUGUGCGCACUUUGAGAGUAAACGUUUGUAUGUAGUAUGCACUGUGAUCAAAAAUAAAUGGGACCAAACGCGAUUGAACGUAAAGGUUUGUGUCUCGUUAUUCUAUUAAUAACUACCGAUUGAUUUUGCAUUUCUUUUAUAAAAUAAGAAUUAUUAGUGUCAUUGUAGUCAUUAUUAGUGUCAUAUAUAUAUAAUAUAUCGGCCCCCUCAUUUUUAGAUGGGCCCCCGCAAAAAUAAAAUUCUGGCUACGCCACUGGUGAAUAGUACCUCCUAUUUAAAGGUCGAUUGGCUGUUACCUGGGAUGCGUCACGUCCGUUUUCCCCCUUUGUUUUGGCUGUGUUGAUGGUGUCUGUGGAGUGCAGUUUCUAUAUUCUGGUGCUGCUGCCCUUUUUGUGCUGCUUAGUGGGUUUGAUGACUGUUUGCCUCUCAGUAUACAUGACUUCCUGUACCCCAUGGUGGUAGCGGUGGGUAUGACUGCGACAAGCCCGUGCCUAUGAAGCAUUUUAUUCGGCGUGAUAUCCUGAUGGUAAGUGUUUUAAAGGCAAUUUAUAUCUGGGUGAGCAUAAUAUUAUUCUUUUUAACAUCUCCUUUUGUUCGAUGUAGGAUUCUCCCUCUCGUUCUAUGUUGUGACUGUUUGCUGCCGUGAUCGUUUAUGCCGUGAUUGUUUGCUGCCGUGAUCACUUGCUGCUGUCUUCGCGCUGUUAACAGAGCGGCGGUCCAUACAGCCGCGCCGACGAAGUCAUCAACGUUGAUUAAAGGGGACUGCUGGUUUGAUUCUGUUACGUGCCUUUCUAGAGCCCUGCUUCACGUUUUGGUUUAUUUUAUUAUUAGUUAUCACGGUUAAAUCAUUUAACCUUUUUCUUUAAGUUUGUGGACAUUUUCUCUUUAAGUUUGUUCUUUUUUUUUUUUUUUUUGUGAAACUACAAUCUGUCGAUAUGUGCAUGUUUAAUCUAUGAAUGCAAUUCAAAUCGUGUGGUGAUCUACUGUAUAGAAGUUGGUGUUGGUAACAAUUUCAGGUGAUUAACUAUCUGAUUUUCUGGUUGCAUUGUUGCUUCUCCUCACUUCUGUUUGUUGAUACCACUUAGGAGUUGCUGCAUUGUUCAUAUUGCCAUUUCUGCCCAGUUUAUUUUCAUAGUUAUUUUCUUUUUGAUUUAUUGCAGGAGCUGGGGUCCCACGGGUGGUUUGAUCUUCCUCCUUGUGGUGGUGGUGGUUCUCCUUCAUCGUGUGCGGUGUACACCUUGAGUGUUUGAUAGUGUGAUUAGAGUGCACGGGUGUGUGUGCACGUGGAAGUGUGCUCUU